GGGGCCGACCUGGUUUCGACGUGGGUACGGACUCGGAGUGGGGCACGCCGAGCAUCAGUGAGCUCGUAAAUCCAGCUGAAAACAAACCAACUGCGAACGAAGAACGUUUCGCCCUCGCCGCUUAAC
rnacentral:tmRNA from 1 species